UCAGCGGCGGACGGGUGAGUAAUGCCUAGGAAUCUGCCUGGUAGUGGGGGACAACGGGUCGAAAGGAACGCUAAUACCGCAUACGUCCUACGGGAGAAAGCAGGGGACCUUCGGGCCUUGCGCUAUCAGAUGAGCCUAGGUCGAGAUUAGCUAGUUGGUGGGGUAAUGGCUCACCAAGGCGACGAUCCGUAACUGGUCUGAGAGGAUGAUCAGUCACACUGGAACUGAGACACGGUCCAGACUCCUACGGGAGGCAGCAGUGGGGAAUAUUGGACAAUGGGCGAAAGCCUGAUCCAGCCAUGCCGGCGUGUGUGCAAGAAGGUCUUCGGAUUGUAAAGCACUUUAAGUUGGGAGGAAGGGCAGUAAGCUAAUACCUUGCUGUUUUGACGUUACCGACAGAAUAAGCACCGGCUAACUCUGUGCCAGCAGCCGCGGUAAUACAGAGGGUGCAAGCGUUAAUCGGAAUUACUGGGCGUAAAGCGCGCGUAGGUGGUUCGUUAAGUUCGGAUAGUGAAAAGCCCCGGGCUCAAACCUGGGGAACUGCAUUCCAAAACUAGGCGAGGCUAGGAGUACGGUAAAGGGUGGUGGAAUUUACCUGUGUAGCGGUGACAAUUGCGUUAGNAUUGUAAGGAAGGAACAACCAGUGGCGAAGGCGACCACGCUGGACUGAUACUGACACUGAGGUGCGAAAGGCGUUGGGGGAGCAACAAACAAGGAUUAAGGAUACCCUGGGUAAGUCCACGCCG
rnacentral:rRNA from 1 species